rnacentral:rRNA from 1 species
GUGCCAGCAGCCGCGGUAAUACGGGGGGGGCAAGCGUUAUCCGGAUUUGCUGGGUGUAAAGGGAGCGUAGACGGUUAUGCAAGUCUGGAGUGAAAGGCGGGGGCUCCCCCCCCGGACUGCUCUGGAAACUGUAAAACUAGAGUGCAGGAGGGGUAAGUGGAAUUCCUAGUGUAGCGGUGAAAUGCGUAUAUAUUAGGAGGAACACCAGUGGCGAAGGCGGCUUACUGGACUGUAACUGACGUUGAGGCUCGAAAGCGUGGGGAGCAAACAGGAUUAUAUACCCUGGUACUCCACGCCGUAAACGAUGAUUACUAGGUGUCGGUGGGUCAAGACCCAUCGGUGCCGUCGCAAACGCAGUAAGUAAUCCACCUGGGGAGUACGUUCGCAAGAAUGAAACUCAAAGGAAUUGACGGGGACCCGCACAAGCGGUGGAGCAUGUGGUCUAAUUCGAAGCAACGCAAAGAACCUACCUGGUCUUGACAUCCCGGUGAAUGCAGGGCAAUGCCUGCCGCUCUUCGGGGCACUGGAGACAGGUGGUGCAUGGGUUGUCGUCAGCUCGUGUCGUGAGGUGUUGGGUUACGUCCCGCAACGAGCGCCACCCUUUAUCCUUAGUAGCCAGCGGGUUAGGCCGGGGCACUCUAGGGAGACUGGCGGGGGGCACCCCGGGAGAAAGGCGGGAGAUGACUUAAAAUC